AUGCGCGCUAGCGCAGCGAUAAUCAUUGUUCGUUUCAGAGAGAGAAAGAUUCCUUGGUUUCAUUGUGGGUUCAUUAUAUGUUUGGGUCUGGAAGGACCUUCGGUGCAAAUUGGUUUCAUUACUAUUGUUAUUAAUCUGACCUUCAACAGAGGCCAACAGACACGAGAGCCUGUAAUGAUCACAGGGGAUCGAUCUAGACGGACAGGACAGCUACUAGGCACUGCUACUACUACUCAAGAUGGUUGCUCCGACCAUCGAUCUCUUAUUCAUCGUCGUCUUCUUCAGUUCCUCCUCUUCUUGCAUGGAGCCAGGCAGCGAGCGAUCACUCUGCAGCGGCAGCAGUCAAAGGGAAACAACCGGGAGCCCGUCAGUUCAGCUAGAUAG
rnacentral:rRNA from 1 species